AGUGAACGCUGGCGGUAGGCCUAACACAUGCAAGUCGAACGGCAGCACAGUAAGAGCUUGCCCUUACGGGUGGCGAGUGGCGGACGGGUGAGGAAUACAUCGGAAUCUACUUUUUCGUGGGGGAUAACGUAGGGAAACUUACGCUAAUACCGCAUACGACCUACGGGUGAAAGUAGGGGAUCUUCGGACCUUGUGCGAUUGAAUGAGCCGGUGUCGGAUUAGCUAGUUUGGGGGGUAAAGGGCAACCAAGCCGACACUCGUAAGCUGGUCUGAGAGGAGGAUCGGCCACACUGGAACUGAGACACGGUCCAGACUCCUACGGGAGGCAGCAGUGGGGAAUAUUGGACAAUGGGCGCAAGCCUGAUCCAGCCAUACCGCGUGGGUGAAGAAGGCCUUCGGGUUGUAAAGCCCUUUUGUUGGGAAAGAAAAGCAGCAGGUUAAUACCCCGCUGUUCUGACGGUACCCAAAGAAUAAGCGCCGGCUAACUUCGUG
rnacentral:rRNA from 1 species